rnacentral:rRNA from 1 species
GAAUUUUAUAUAAUUUUUUAUAAAAAAAAAUAAAUUAUUUAGUAUAAAUUAAAAAAUUAUAUUUUAUUGGGAGGAUAUAUAAAUUAAUAAAACUUUUUUAUAUAGAUUUAUAACAUAGAUAUAUGAAAUAUAAUAGAUUAAUUUUUUAAAAUAUAAAAAUUAAAUUAGAAUUAAUUACCUUAGGGAUAACAGCGUAAAAUUUUUAGAGAGAUCAUAUUUAUAAAAAUGUUUGC